rnacentral:rRNA from 1 species
AUUGAACGCUGGCGGCAUGCUUUACACAUGCAAGUCGAACGGCAGCGCGGGCUUCGGCCUGGCGGCGAGUGGCGAACGGGUGAGUAAUACAUCGGAACGUGCCCAGUAGUGGGGGAUAGCUCGGCGAAAGCCGGAUUAAUACCGCAUACGACCUGAGGGUGAAAGCGGGGGAUCUUCGGACCUCGCGCUAUUGGAGCGGCCGAUGGCAGAUUAGCUAGUUGGUGGGGUAAAGGCCUACCAAGGCGACGAUCUGUAGCUGGUCUGAGAGGACGACCAGCCACACUGGGACUGAGACACGGCCCAGACUCCUACGGGAGGCAGCAGUGGGGAAUUUUGGACAAUGGGCGAAAGCCUGAUCCAGCAAUGCCGCGUGUGUGAUGAAGGCCUUCGGGUUGUAAAGCACUUUUGGCGGGAACGAAAAGGACUGUGCCAAUACCACGGUUCGAUGGCGGUACCCGCAGAAUAAGCACCGGCUGACUACGUG